rnacentral:rRNA from 1 species
GGCUACACACGUGCUACAAUGGGUAGAACAGAGAGUUGCAAAGCCGUGAGGUGAAGCUAAUCUCAGAAAACUAUUCUUAGUUCGGAUUGUACUCUGCAACUCGAGUACAUGAAGUUGGAAUCGCUAGUAAUCGCGAAUCAGCAAUGUCGCNGGUGAAUACGUUCUCGGGUCUUGUACACACCGCCCGUCACACCACGAGAGUUGGUUGCACCCGAAGUAGCAGGCCUAACCGUAAGGAGGGAUGCUCCGAGGGUGUGAUUAGCGAUUGGGGUGAAGUCGUAACAAGGUAUCCGUACGGGAACGU